ACUAGGCACGGUAGCACAUGCCUGUAGUCGCAACUACUCACGAGGCUGAGGUGUGAGGAUGGCUUGAACCCAGGAGUUCUGGGCAGUAGUGGGCUAUGCUGAUUGGGUGUUUGCACCAGCAUCAAUAUGGUGACCUCCCAGAAGUGGGGUACCACCAGGUUGCCAAGGAGGGAUGAAGUGGCCCAGGUAAGAAAGAGAGCAAGUCAAAACUCCCUUGCUGAACAGUAGUGGGAUAGCACCUAUGAAUAGCCACUGCACUCCAGCCUGGGCAACAUAGUGAGACCCUGUCUCU
rnacentral:SRP_RNA from 1 species